rnacentral:rRNA from 1 species
UACGUAGGGUGCGAGCGUUGUCCGGAAUUAUUGGGCGUAAAGAGCUCGUAGGCGGUUUGUUGCGUCUAUCGUGAAAACCUGCGGCUUAACUGUGGGCUUGCGGUGGAUACGGGCAGACUUGAGUUCGGUAGGGGAGACUGGAAUUCCUGGUGUAGCGGUGAAAUGCGUAGAGAUGUGGAGGAACACCAGUGGCGAAGGCGGCUCACUGGCCCGAUACUGACGCUGAGGCACGAAAGCGUGGGGAGCAAACAGG